rnacentral:rRNA from 1 species
AACGAACGCUGGCGGCAUGCCUAACACAUGCAAGUCGAACGAGACCUUCGGGUCUAGUGGCGCACGGGUGCGUCACGCGUGGGAACCUGCCCUUAGGUUCGGAAUACCUCCCCGACAGGGGUGCUAAUACCGGAUAAUGUCUUCGGACCAAAGAUUUAUCGCCUUUGGAUGGGCCCGCGUUGGAUUAGCUAGUUGGUAGGGUAAAAGCCUACCAAGGCGACGAUCCAUAGCUGGUCUGAGAGGCUGAUCAGCCACACUGGGACUGAGACACGGCCCAGACUCCUACGGGAGGCAGGAGUGGGGAAUAUUGGACAAUGGGCGAAAGCCUGAUCCAGCAAUGCCGCGUGAGUGAUGAAGGCCUUAGGGUUGUAAAGCUCUUUUACCCGGGAUGAUAAUGACAGUACCGGGAGAAUAAGCUCCGGCUAACUCCGUG